rnacentral:rRNA from 1 species
UACAGAGGGUGCGAGCGUUAAUCGGAAUUACUGGGCGUAAAGCGUGCGUAGACGGUUAUUUAAGUCGGGUGUGAAAGCCCCGGGCUCAACCUGGGAAUUGCAUUCGAGACUGAAUAGCUAGGGUACGGUAGAGGGAAGUGGAAUUUCCGGUGUAGCGGUGAAAUGCGUAGAUAUCGGAAGGAACAUCAGUGGCGAAAGCGACACACUGGGUCUCAACUGACGCUGAGGCACGAAAGCCAGGGGAGCAAACGGG